UGGGGAAUAUUGCACAAUGGGGGAAACCCUGAUGCAGCGACGCCGCGUGAACGAAGAAGGUAUUCGUAUCGUAAAGUUCUGUCCUAUGGGAAGAUAAUGACAGUACCAUAGAAGAAAGCUCCGGCUAAAUACGUGCCAGCAGCCGCGGUAAUACGUAUGGAGCGAGCGUUGUCCGGAAUUAUUGGGCGUAAAGGGUACGCAGGCGGUUUAAUAAGUCGAAUGUUAAAGAUCGGGGCUCAACCCCGCAAAGCAUUGGAAACUGAUAAACUUGAGUAUUGGAGAGGAAAGUGGAAUUCCUCGUGUAGUGGUGAAAUACGUAGAUAUUAGGAGGAAUACCAGUAGCGAAGGCGACUUUCUGGACACAAACUGACGCUGAGGUACGAAAGCGUGGGGAGCAAACAGG
rnacentral:rRNA from 1 species